rnacentral:rRNA from 1 species
AUUGAACGCUGGCGGCAGGCCUAACACAUGCAAGUCGAGCGGAUGAAGGGAGCUUGCUCCUGGAUUCAGCGGCGGACGGGUGAGUAAUGCCUAGGAAUCUGCCUGGUAGUGGGGGAUAACGUCCGGAAACGGGCGCUAAUACCGCAUACGUCCUGAGGGAGCAAGUGGGGGAUCUUCGGACCUCACGCUAUCAGAUGAGCCUAGGUCGGAUUAGCUAGUUGGUGGGGUAAAGGCCUACCAAGGCGACGAUCCGUAACUGGUCUGAGAGGAUGAUCAGUCACACUGGAACUGAGACAGGGUCCAUACUCCUACGGGAGGCAGCAGUGGGGAAUAUUGGACAAUGGGCGAAAGCCUGAUCCAGCCAUGCCGCGUGUGUGAAGAAGGUCUUCGGAUUGUAAAGCACUUUAAGUUGGGAGGAAGGGCAGUAAGUUAAUACCUUGCUGUUUUGACGUUACCAACAGAAUAAGCACCGGCUAACUUCGUG